UCCCUGGUGGUCCAGCAGUCAAGACUCUGCACUCGCAAUGCAGGGGGCCCAGGUUUGAUCCCUGGUCAAGGAA